rnacentral:rRNA from 1 species
UGACGAGUUUGAUCCUGGCUCAGGAUGAACGCUAGCGGCAGGCUUAACACAUGCAAGUCGAGGGGUAGAAGUUGCUUGCAACUUUGAGACCGGCGCACGGGUGCGUAACGCGUAUGCAAUCUACCUUUUACAGAGGGAUAGCCCAGAGAAAUUUGGAUUAAUACCUCAUAGUAUGUGAGAAUCGCAUGGUUUUCACAUUAAAGUUCCAACGGUAAAAGAUGAGCAUGCGUCCCAUUAGCUAGAUGGUAAGGUAACGGCUUACCAUGGCGACGAUGGGUAGGGGUCCUGAGA